ensembl:antisense Gm15747 predicted gene 15747
GGCGGCAGAACCAAGAGCCCACGGAACAGACUUUCGGAAGCUGGGGUCAGAGAGAACCUAGGCCAACAACAGUCACAUAGAAGACCCAACUGGCCUUCCUUCCAGCCCAAGCAGGAAAAACCUGGAAAAGAAGUGAAGGUUCUGACCCCAUGCAAGGGCAAGCUAAAGAGGCUUCUGAACGGGGGCUGGAGAUACCAAAGAGCAAGUAAGCUUCUUGUAUCCAACUAGUGAUGCAUUCUGCAGUCAAGAAAAUUAACUCAGAAAAGGAAAUCCAGUGAGAUGGUUCAGUAGGUAAAUAAAAGCACUUGCUGUUAAGUCUGACCUUCAUUCCAACCCGUGGGACCCACAAGAUAGAAGACUCCCAACAACUUAAUCUCUGACCACCCCAACCCCACUGUGGCAUCUGCGCUUCUCACGAUAAAUAAAGGUAAAAAUAAAUAAAUAAAAGAUUUUGUUUGGA